AAAUCGAAUCGAAUUGGGACAUCUGAAUCGAUACCCAACCCUUUUAACCUUGAUCAGAAGGUCUUCUCCAUAAUAAGCAUGAUCUAGUUGUAACUGGUAUUGAGUCUUUGCACACAUUCCUGCACUUUUGACAAAGUGGUUUGAUGUUCAUCGUGUUUGCUUUCCUCCACCAUCAGGGCGAUAUCAGCUUUGAUCUACAAUGUGCUCAAAGCCUUCAUGGAGAUGAACAGCGCCUUGUUUGAUGAACUCGCCGCCAAUUACAAAUCAGACAGGCAAAGGGAAAGGAAGAAGGACAAGGAGCGAGAGGACCUAUGGAGGAAGCUGGAAGAUCUGGAGCUCAGACGGGGCGUCCAGAACAGUGAUGGCGUCAUUCCCACCUAACACGGACCUCGUCUCCGCCCUUCUGUGUGGUCCCAACCAAUCCCUUUCUACUCUGCCACAGGGACCCCGUCCCCCUAUUUGCUUCUCAUCCUGCGUACUCUACCGCACACUCCCUCGUUCAUUUCCUCCCUUUCAACAGCACUGUAAAUAAUCCUCUCCCUCUUUCCUGUAUCAUACUACUACACUGAAAGGAAGAAGAAAAAACAGAAAAUUCGAAGAGAGACUUAAUUUGCACUCCUUGUUGUAAAAAGAAAAAUAUGGUAAAAUGAUAAUCAACUAUG